UACGAGGGGGGCGAGCGUUGUUCGGAAUUAUUGGGCGUAAAGGGUGCGUAGGCGGUUUGGUAAGUCUUAUGUGAAAUCUACAGGCUCAACUUGUAGUCUGCAUGAGAAACUGCCGGGCUUGAGUGUGGGAGAGGUGAGUGGAAUUCCUGGUGUAGCGGUGAAAUGCGUAGAUAUCAGGAGGAACACCUGUGGCGAAAGCGGCUCACUGGACCACAACUGACGCUGAUGCACGAAAGCUAGGGGAGCAAACAGG
rnacentral:rRNA from 1 species